rnacentral:rRNA from 1 species
GCUGGCGGCGCGCCUAACACAUGCAAGUCGAGCGAGAACCAGGGCUUCGGCCCUGGGGACAGCGGCGAACGGGUGAGUAACACGUGGAUAACCUGCCCUCGGCACCGGAAUAGCCCGGGGAAACUCGGAUUAAUGCCGGAUAGCCCCACAUCCCUGCGGGGAACGUGGGAAAAGGUAGCUUCGGCCUCUGGCCGAGGAUGGGUCCGCGGUGGAUUAGCUUGUUGGCGGGGUAACGGCUCACCAAGGCGACGAUCCAUAGCUGGUCUGAGAGGACGAUCAGCCACACUGGGACUGAGACACGGCCCAGACUCCUACGGGAGGCAGCAGUGGGGAAUCUUGCGCAAUGGGCGAAAGCCUGACGCAGCGACGCCGCGUGCGGGAAGAAGGCCUUCGGGUUGUAAACCGCUUUCAGGAGGGACGAAGCCACUCGGGUUAAUAGCCCAGAGGGUGACGGUACCUCCAGAAGAAGCCCCGGCUAACUACGUGCCAGCAGCCGCGGUAAUACAUAGGGGGCAAGCGUUGUCCGGAUUCAUUGGGCGUAAAGAGCGUGUAGGCGGCCAGGUAGGUCGGUUGUGAAAACUGGAGGCUCA